UUUCUCUGCUGGUUGAUAUGGCAUGUGGCUACCCACCUCAUUGCUCUCCCAGAAAGGACUCCGUUAUCCACAUGAUGCUGCAAAGAGAGGGAAUGAGCUGGGACCACAGGAUCUGAUAGAAACAUUAUCCUUUUACCAAGAUCCAGGAGCCAUUGGUCCAUACAGAAGUUCAGCAGGACCUCAAACAUGGUUUCUUCAGAAACAAACUGUGGAUUCAGCAGCAUAUUGCUGAAAACAAGGUGUUCCAAAUAAAAAACAGAAAAUUUUGGAUGGAUUUUUUUUUUAAUUAUUUUUUAAUCUGUUUUUUUUUUUACAUUUCCAGACAAAUUUGGAAACUCACAGCUGCAAAGGGGAUUUUGUGACUUUCCUGGCACAAAAUCUGUAACAUUUUCUAGAAUUAAACAAAUCUGAGGCACAGAACAAGAGAAAAUGGAAGUUCCUAAACCAUCAAG